rnacentral:rRNA from 1 species
CCUACGGGUGGCAGCAGUGGGGAAUAUUGGUCAAUGGGCGGGAGCCUGAACCAGCCAAGCCGCGUGAGGGAAGAAGGUACAGCGUAUCGUAACCCUCUUUUGUCAGGGAACAAAGGCGGGGACUAGUCCCCGGAUGAGGGUACCUGAAGAAAAAGCAUCGGCUAACUCCGUGCCAGCAGCCGCGGUAAUACGGAGGAUGCGGGCGUUAUCCGGUUUUAUUGGGUUGAAGGGGUGCGCAGGCGGCCGGUUAAGUCAGCGGUACAAGCCCGGGGCUCAACCCAGGAGAGCCGUUGAAACUGGCGGGCGGGAGUUGGAGAGAAGUACGCGGAAUGCGCGGUGUAGCGGUGAAAUGCUUAGAUAUCGCGCAGAACCCCGAUGGCGAAGGCAGCGUACCGGCUCCACACUGACGCUGAGGCACGAAAGCGUGGGUAUCGAACAGGAUUAGAUACCCUUGUAGUC